rnacentral:rRNA from 1 species
UUGCUCUUCAACGAGGAAUGCCUAGUAAGCGCAAGUCAUCAGCUUGCGUUGAUUACGUCCCUGCCCUUUGUACACACCGCCCGUCGCUACUACCGAUUGAAUGGCUCAGUGAGGCCUUGGGACUGGCUCAGAGAGGUCGGCAACGACCACUCAGAGCCGGAAACUUGGUCAAACUUGGUCAUUUAGAGGAAGUAAAGUCGUAACAAGGUUUCCGUAGGUGAACCUGCGGAAGGAUCAUUACCGAGUUAGGGUGCCUCAAAGCGCCCGACCUCCAACCCUUUGUCUACCUGACCUAUUGUUGCUUCGGCAGACCCGCCGCCCCCUUUCCCUUCAUAGGGGAGGGGAUGGCCACCGGGGGCCCUUACCGGCCCCGGGUCCGCGUCUGCCGAUGGCCCUUAUUAAAACUCUUGUCAUUAACCGUGUCGUCUGAGUAAAACAAAACAAAUAAAAAAAAACUUUCAACAACGGAUCUCUUGGUUCUGGCAUCGAUGAAGAACGCAGCGAAAUGCGAUAAGUAAUGCGAAUUGCAGAAUCCGUGAGUCAUCGAAUCUUUGAACGCACAUUGCGCCCUCUGGUAUUCCGGGGGGCAUGCCUGUUCGAGCGUCAUUAUCACCCCUCAAGCCCGGCUUGUUGUUGGACGUCCGGCGGAGCCUUCGGGCCCUGCCCGUCUCAAAGAUAAUGACGGCGUCUGUGAGGACUCCUGUACACUGAGCUUUCGGGCACGUACUAGGUUAGAACUUCAGACCCGGUCUUCUGGUGGCGUCGCCUAAAAACGACACCACCGCUUCUAUAUCAAGGUUGACCUCGGAUCAGGUAGGAAUACCCGCUGAACUUAAGCAUAUCAAUAAGCGGAGGA